rnacentral:rRNA from 1 species
GUGAACGCUGGCGGUAGGCCUAACACAUGCCAGUCGAACGGCAGCACAGUAAGAGCUUGCUCUUCCGGGUGGCGAGUGGCGGACGGGUGAGGAAUACAUCGGAAUCUACUUUUUCGUGGGGGAUAACGUAGGGAAACUUACGCUAAUACCGCAUACGACCUACGGGUGAAAGCAGGGGAUCUUCGGACCUUGCGCGAUUGAAUGAGCCGAUGUCGGAUUAGCUAGUUGGCGGGGUAAAGGCCCACCAAGGCGACGAUCCGUAGCUGGUCUGAGAGGAUGAUCAGCCACACUGGAACUGAGACACGGUCCAGACUCCUACGGGAGGCAGCAGUGGGGAAUAUUGGACAAUGGGCGCAAGCCUGAUCCAGCCAUACCGCGUGGGUGAAGAAGGCCUUCGGGUUGUAAAGCCCUUUUGUUGGGAAAGAAAAGCAGCAGGUUAAUACCCCGCUGUUCUGACGGUACCCAAAGAAUAAGCACCGGCUAACUUCGUG